rnacentral:rRNA from 1 species
UCGAGGGGUAACAGGAGUAGCUUGCUAUUUGCUGACGACCGGCGCACGGGUGCGUAACGCGUAUAGAAUCUACCUUAUACUGGGGGAUAGCCUUUGGAAACGAAGAUUAAUACCCCAUAGUAUUAUUUUUUGGCAUCAUUAAAUAAUUAAAGUUUCGGCGGUAUAAGAUGACUAUGCGUUCUAUUAGUUAGUUGGUAAGGUAACGGCUUACCAAGACUUCGAUAGAUAGGGGUCCUGAGAGGGAGAUCCCCCACACUGGUACUGAGACACGGACCAGACUCCUACGGGAGGCAGCAGUGAGGAAUAUUGGACAAUGGAGGCAACUCUGAUCCAGCCAUGCCGCGUGUAGGAAGACUGCCCUAUGGGUUGUAAACUACUUUUAUAUGGGAAGAAUAAGAUCUACGUGUAGAUUGAUGACGGUACCAUAAGAAUAAGCACCGGCUAACUCCGUGCCAGCAGCCGCGGUAAUACGGAGGGUGCAAGCGUUAUCCGGAAUCAUUGGGUUUAAAGGGUCCGUAGGCGGGCAUAUAAGUCAGUGGUGAAAGUCUGUGGCUUAACCAUAGAAUUGCCAUUGAUACUGUAUGUCUUGAAUUAUUGUGAAGUGGUUAGAAUAUGUAGUGUAGCGGUGAAAUGCUUAGAGAUUACAUAGAAUACCGAUUGCGAAGGCAGAUCACUAACAAUAUAUUGACGCUGAUGGACGAAAGCGUAGGUAGCGAACAGGAUUAGAUACCCUGGUAGUCUACGCCGUAAACGAUGGAUACUAGUUGUUUGGUUUUCGGACUGAGUGACUAAGCGAAAGUGAUAAGUAUCCCACCUGGGGAGUACGUUCGCAAGAAUGAAACUCAAAGGAAUUGACGGGGGCCCGCACNAGCGGUGGAGCAUGUGGUUUAAUUCGAUGAUACGCGAGGAACCUUACCAGGGCUUAAAUGUAGUCUGACAGCUUUAGAGAUAGAGUUUUCUUCGGACAGAUUACAAGGUGCUGCAUGGUUGUCGUCAGCUCGUGCCGUGAGGUGUCAGGUUAAGUCCUAUAACGAGCGCAACCCCUGUGGUUAGUUGCCAGCGAGUAAUGUCGGGAACUCUAGCCAGACUGCCGGUGCAAACCGUGAGGAAGGUGGGGAUGACGUCAAAUCAUCACGGCCCUUACGUCCUGGGCCACACACGUGCUACAAUGGUAGGGACAGAGAGCAGCCACUUAGCGAUAAGGAGCGAAUCUAUAAACCCUAUCUCAGUUCGGAUUGGAGUCUGCAACUCGACUCCAUGAAGCUGGAAUCGCUAGUAAUCGGAUAUCAGCCAUGAUCCGGUGAAUACGUUCCCGGGCCUUGUACACACCGCCCGUCAAGCCAUG